CAAUUUGCAUGUGUUACAGGUGAGCCGGCACACAAAGUGCGUCGGGGCGUGCGACAGUUCAUGCCAUAUAAGUCAUUCGCCCUACGCUCACUGCUAGCGCUCGAUUGUAGUGCAAGCUUGUCCCUAAAGCUUCACCAAGGUCACCUCUAGAAAGUGCAACUACGCACUGAAUGACCCUUUUGUGGGAGAUGUUUAAAGGGCUUCUCUCGCCAGUCUGUCGCCCAAAGAUUGUGAGGCUUCUGUUGCCGUCCACACAAGCUUGUUUGUACACCACUGCCAAUGGUAUCUAGUGAGUUUCAGGACUACUGCGAGAAAUGGUGCUCCAACUCGCGGCUCUGCGUCGCUUUCCAGUGACACUACUGAUGACAUCAGAGGGCCGUGGGCGGUAUCGCUUCCGACCACUUAGCAGCAUAUCCAAGUCCGAGAAAAGAGUGAGGUCUAGCUACUGGAUCCAGACAUGCACGAAGCCGCUAUCGCCGGAUACGCUUGGCACCUACGUGGACACAGCCGCAGAAAAAUUUGGCGACCGUGUUGGCUGGGCGUUUGUGCAGGAGGGAAAGCAGUGCACCUUCGCUGACUUCAGAGAUCAGGUUGACCGAGUAGCCCAAGGCCUGCUGUCUCUCGGCUUCUGCAAGGGAGACACCUUGUUAAUAUGGUCCCCCAACACCUUCAACUGGAUUCUGAUGGCCGCUGCGAUGGCUAAAGUUGGAAUAAUUUCAGCAAGCAUCCACUUUGCACUGACAGCAGCCGAAUUUGAAAAAUGCCUCAAGACGGUGGGCUUCAAGGGCCUCUUCAUUGCACAACCAUUCAAGCGGUCUAAUUAUUACGAGAUGAUAUCCAUGCUGAUCCCGGAGCUCAGAGAUUCCAAGCCUGGACAGCUCAACUGCGCAAAAUAUCCAUUCUUAAAAGCCGUCAUAGCGGAUGGUGACCAAAAAGCGCCAGGUUGCAUUUCUUUGUGUGAGCUAAUGCAGAGUGGAGAGGCCGAACUGCGCGAAGCUCAGGACAAAGUGAGCAUGGACGACCCUUUCACCAUACUGUUUACCUCGGGAACAACCGGGUCUCCAAAGGCUGCUGCACUCAGUCAUCACAACUUCGUCAACAAUGUUGUGGCAUACCACUUCAGGAACAACUUCAGAGAGGACAUGGUUAUGUGUAAUCCUCUGCCAUUCUUCCAUGCGUAUGGACUGAGCCUGGCUGUGGGUCGGCCGUUGAUAUAUGGCGUCAAAGCAGUGGUCCCCUCGCCCAGUUACGACCUCGGUGCCUUGUUCAAGGCCAUCCAAGAGCAUAGGUGUACGGACAUCUCUGGAUCCCCGACGAUGUACGUUGACAUGAUCAGAAGUCCACUAUUGAAACACUACGACGUGUCUUCCCUCAAAAACGCCGUGUGCGGUGGUAACGUGGUCACACCUUCAAUACGAAAACUGAUCCGAGAGAACCUCAAUACUUCAGUCAGGGUAGGCUACGGCGCAACGGAGCUGACCAUGGCGGCUACAGUUGUGUUCGACGACGACCCAGAAGACAAGAAAAUGCACACCGUAGGCCGGCCCUUGCCCUACUUAGAGGUGAAGAUCGCAGACCAUGCAACAGGCCACGAGCAGCCUAUAGGCACACCUGGAGAAGUUUGGUGCCGAGGCCAUAACGUAUUCCUUGGCUACUACAAUGACGAGCAGAAGACGCGGGAAUGCAUCACGCAAGCUGGCUGGUACAAGACUGGUGACGUCGGUGUAAUGGAUGAAGAUGGAUACGUGACUAUCGUGAGCCGCAUCAAGGACAUCGUAAUCCGAGGUGGAGAAAAUGUAUUUCCGGCCGAGGUAGAAGAAGUGAUCAACACCCAUCCCGCCGUCCAUGAGAGUCUGGUGAUCGGUGUACCAGACGACCGGAUGGGGGAGGAACUCUGUGCGUGGAUAGUACUCAAAGAGAAAGCCAACGUCACAGAUGAAGAAUUGAGACAGCACUCCGAAGGAAAGCUCACUCGCUUCAAGAUUCCACGUUACUUCAUCUACGACCCCAAGGUUCCGAGGACGGCCGUCGGGAAGGCGCAAAAGGCCAAGAUGCGUCCCUUGGCCGCACAAAUCCUAGGACUCACAAAAUGAACACUCCUACUGCAUCAUGUGUUUUUGUAAAUGAAUGUGAGUCAUAUGACAUUUGUACCGAAACGGCUGCGACUGAGCGAUAGUGGCAGACUCAUUUGACCCUUGAGCACCUUGAUGGUAUCUUGAAAAGAUUGUUACAGGUCACGCUGAGUACCAUCAUGAGUUAGUGAGCAUUUUUUGGCUAAAGGGAAUGCACUGCUCAGGAAUGUCUUCAACAGUAAGCCAAAAAGUCAAAGCAGAAUCACUAGCGAAAACAAAGUCAGUGGCAAUUUCGCGGUAAACGCGAGAGAAAUGCGUUAGCAUUACGGCACACCUGAUUGAGGUCCCAGAUCCAUGAUUUAAACCGCGUUCACCACAUCCCUAGAUGGUCAGUCGACAACUGACGGUGGUAGCGAGCAGACCACCACCACCGUCGCACUCUGCACAUAAAUAAAUAAAUAAAUAAAUAAAUAAAUAAAUAAAUAAAUAAAUAAAUAAAUAAAUAAAUAAAUAAAAUAUCUUAUAAGCUCUCCCAUCCCCUCUCCACCUCUAUCACGUGACCGGGUUCCGACACUUCACAUGAACUUUUUUCCACUUCGACGCACCCAAUGCCAAAGCAUUAAAAUCGCGGAGUGCGGCACGAACAUGAGUUUCAGGCUACUGCUACAUCGACCAACCUGAUGUCGCUCGGGAGCUACGCUACACCUGAUAAAACUUGUCGUACCAAAUCUGUGUACUCAAUGCUGCGUGAAUAAAGGAGCCCAGAAAAAAUUGGUUGAUCCCUCUUUCAGACAAAUCGGUGAUAGCCCAAAAGUGAAACUUGUAUUCUAAUAAGCAGUAGCCGCUUCGUGGCACCUUCAUAAAUCCAAGUUCAUAUAGUAUGUGCACACUCUUUCAAUAAUUAGUUUCGCUCGAAGGGCGAAUCAUCGACAGCGCGACCUCGUGUGCGCGUCUGUUUGUAACAAUGCAUACGCAUGUCUGUAGAAACUCAGUUUGGUGCGACCAAACUGCAUGCAAACAAACGAGACAGUAUGAUGUAGACUAUUGACCCACAGAGGUCGUAUUUUUGCACAAUAUUUUUACAGCGAAGCUGUUAAGGGCUCACUCUUCAAUGGUCGUGUCCGCGUGUAGAAAAAAAAAUGUCGCAG